UACGUAGGGGGCAAGCGUUGUCCGGAUUUAUUGGGCGUAAAGAGCGUGUAGGCGGCCUGAAAGGUCAGCUGUGAAAACUCGAGGCUCAACCUCGAGACGUCGGUUGAAACCAUCUGGCUAGAGUCCGGAAGAGGAGUGUGGAAUUCCCGGUGUAGCGGUGAAAUGCGCAGAUAUCGGGAAGAACACCCGUGGCGAAGGCGGCUUUCUGGACGAUAACUGACGCUGAGACGCGAAAGCGUGGGGAGCAAACAGG
rnacentral:rRNA from 1 species